UACGUAGGGGGCUAGCGUUGUCCGGAUUUAUUGGGCGUAAAGAGCGUGUAGGCGCCAGGUAGGUCCGCUGUGAAAGUCCGAGGCUCAACCUCGGAAUGUCGGCGGAAACCCUCUGGCUAGAGUCCGGAAGAGGAGAGUGGAAUUCCCGGUGUAGCGGUGAAAUGCGCAGAUAUCGGGAAGAACACCCGUGGCGAAGGCGGCUCUCUGGAACGGUACUGACGCUGAGGAGCGAAAGCGUGGGGAGCAAACAGG
rnacentral:rRNA from 1 species